AUUCGUACCUCGGGGGGCCAUCCGAGCGAUUGGAUGGCUGAGAUGCAAUGAUGCGGACCCGUUGAACCUGAACCGGUUAAGACCGGCGGAGGGAAGGUAAGACAUUGUUCU
rnacentral:ncRNA from 2 species